UGGGCGUAAAGAGCUCGUAGGCGGUUUGUCGCGUCUGCCGUGAAAGUCCGGGGCUCAACUCCGGAUCUGCGGUGGGUACGGGCAGACUAGAGUGAUGUAGGGGAGACUGGAAUUCCUGGUGUAGCGGUGAAAUGCGCAGAUAUCAGGAGGAACACCGAUGGCGAAGGCAGGUCUCUGGGCAUUAACUGACGCUGAGGAGCGAAAGCAUGGGGAGCGAACAGGAUUAGAUACCCUGGUAGUCCAUGCCGUAAACGUUGGGCACUAGGUGUGGGGGACAUUCCACGUUUUCCGCGCCGUAGCUAACGCAUUAAGUGCCCCGCCUGGGGAGUACGGCCGCAAGGCUAAAACUCAAAGGAAUUGACGGGGGCCCGCACAAGCGGCGGAGCAUGCGGAUUAAUUCGAUGCAACGCGAAGAACCUUACCAAGGCUUGACAUGGACCGGACCGCCGCAGAAAUGUGGUUUCCCCUUUGGGGCUGGUUUACAGGUGGUGCAUGGUUGUCGUCAGCUCGUGUCGUGAGAUGUUGGGUUA
rnacentral:rRNA from 1 species